AAAAAUAAAAGGGUCGAUCUCCAAAAUAAUACACAGCAAGCAAGGAUUUAAAGAUCAGUGAGCACCGAGCUCUUAAACAGCCGGGACCUUUUGUAUAGUCAUGACGUUAGUUGAAAAGAACGAUGCAAGACGUACCCUCUCUCUCUUUCGCUCGCUCAUUCCUCAAAAACAAAAAGGCAAUUUCACAACCAUAUGAAGUAUUGAUUUCAAUCAGGCAACGGUGUCUCGCUCUCGCUCUCUCACACACCUGCUCUUUUCCUACUAUUACUUUUACCUUAAGCAUGUGACUCUGCCAACGACUCUACAGUUUCUCUACGUGCUCUUAAUGGCUGAGGCCAACCACGGCAAAGCACAUACACACACACACACACACACACACACACAACUCUUCACCAUCCUUCAACACACAGACAUAUACACACACACACACACACCUACAUAGAUAAAUACACAUACAUACACACACACACACACACACACAUACAUACAUACAUACACACAGAUACACACACAUACAUACACACACACACAGAUACACACACAUGUAUACAUACAUACACACACAGAUACACACACACACACACACACACACACACAUAUAUACAUACACACACACACAUAUAUACAUACACACACACACACACACAUAUAUACACACACAUAUAUACAUACAUACACAUACACACAGAGCACAGGGGUUAGGCUAAAUCUCAAAUGCCACCCAUUCUGCAUAUCCAGCAAAAUCUCACACACACAAAAUUGUUGAAGGUGUAGAAAUGCCACUUCUCCAUAUCUCCUCACGAUCUCUUGGCCUUUCGUUUUCCCAGUCGCUCUCUCCAUUCCUCUCUCUCCAAAUACCAUCCGUCAUAUCUGCAGCAGUCCUCCAUUUGCAUGAAUACUAAUGAAGAGAUCACGCCUGACAGGUCAAAGUGAAGCACAAACUGAGUGUAUGCGCAUGUCUACACGUUUAAUUAUACACCGUAUACGUAGAUUAGUAAGCACACCUAAUAAUCUCUCCCUCUCUUGACCUCUCUCUGUGGACCUGCCUGAUCAAUCCUGACGCCCUGCAUCUGUAUGGAGCCCUCAUCAACUGGAGGCUACGUCCUGGAGAUUGCUGAGGAUGCUACCGCUUGAAGAACCAUGGAAGUGGUUUUGGACCUCAAUUCCACAUGGACAUUCUCACUGUGGUCUCCUUUAGUGAACAGUGGACUAGUUCAACAAACAGACUUCACGUUAAAUCCAUAAUGAACUUCCUUUCACUUUCACACUAUCCGGCGUCACCCAGACGAGGACGGGUUCCCUUCCGAGUCUGGUUCCUCUCGAG
ensembl:lncRNA